CAGUAGAACGCUGAAUAAGAGCUUGCUCUUAUGGAUGAGUUGCGAACGGGUGCAGUAACACGUGGGGAACCUACCUUCUAGCGGGGGAUAACACAUAGAAAUGUGUGCUAAUACCGCAUAAUAGUAUUUGAUGCAUAUCAGAUACUUGAAAGGCGCAAUUGCGUCACUAGAAGAUGGCCCCGCGGUGCAUUAGCUAGUUGGUGAGGUAACGGCUCACCAAGGCAAUGAUGCAUAGCCGAUCUGAGAGGGUGAUCGGCCACACUGGGACUGAGACACGGCCCAGACUCCUACGGGAGGCAGCAGUAGGGAAUCUUCGGCAAUGGACGCAAGUCUGACCGAGCAACGCCGCGUGAGUGAAGAAGGUUUUCGGAUCGUAAAACUCUGUUGUAAGAGAAGAACGUUGAUGAGAGUGGAAAGUUCAUCAAGUGACGGUAUCUUACCAGAAAGCCACGGCUAACUACGUGCCAGCAGCCGCGGUAAUACGUAGGUGGCAAGCGUUGUCCGGAUUUAUUGGGCGUAAAGCGAGCGCAGGCGGUUGAUUAAGUCUGAUGUGAAAGCCCCCGGCUCAACCGGGGAGGGUCAUUGGAAACUGGUCAACUUGAGUGCAGAAGAGGAGAGUGGAAUUCCAUGUGUAGCGGUGAAAUGCGUAGAUAUAUGGAGGAACACCAGUGGCGAAGGCGGCUCUCUGGUCUGUAACUGACGCUGAGGCUCGAAAGCGUGGGGAGCGAACAGGAUUAGAUACCCUGGUAGUCCACGCCGUAAACGAUGAGUGCUAAGUGUAGGAGGGUUUCCGCCCUUCAGUGCUGCAGCUAACGCAUUAAGCACUCCGCCUGGGGAGUACGACCGCAAGGUUGAAACUCAAAGGAAUUGACGGGGGCCCGCACAAGCGGUGGAGCAUGUGGUUUAAU
rnacentral:rRNA from 1 species